UACGUAGGGGGCAAGCGUUGUCCGGAUUUAUUGGGCGUAAAGAGCGUGUAGGCGGCCAGACAGGUCAGCUGUGAAAACUCGAGGCUCAACCUCGAGACGUCGGUUGAAACCGUCUGGCUAGAGUCCGGAAGAGGAGAGUGGAAUUCCCGGUGUAGCGGUGAAAUGCGCAGAUAUCGGGGAAGAACACCCGUGGCGAAGGCGGCUCUCUGGGCCUGUUCUGACGCUGAGGCGCGAAAGCUAGGGGAGCGAACAGG
rnacentral:rRNA from 1 species